rnacentral:tRNA from 2 species
AUCUAAAUAGUUUAAUUAGAAUAAUAAUUUGUGGUGUUAUAGGUACAUUAAUGUUUUAGAUC